rnacentral:rRNA from 1 species
UGGGGAAUCUUCCGCAAUGGGCGCAAGCCUGACGGAGCAACGCCGCGUGAGUGAAGAAGGGUUUCGACUCGUAAAGCUCUGUUGUCGGGGACGAAUGUGGAGAUGGUGAAUAACCAUUUCAAAUGACGGUAGCCAAGGAGGAAGCCACGGCUAACUACGUGCCAGCAGCCGCGGUAAUACGUAGGUGGCAAGCGUUGUCCGGAAUUACUGGGUGUAAAGGGAGCGCAGGCGGGAAAUCAAGUUGGAUGUGAAAUGUCGGGGCUUAACCCCGGAACUGCAUCCAAAACUGAUAUUCUUGAGUGAAGUAGAGGUAGGCGGAAUUCCGAGUGUAGCGGUGAAAUGCGUAGAUAUUCGGAGGAACACCAGUGGCGAAGGCGGCCUACUGGGCUUUAA